GGGGUAUAGCUCAGUGGUAGAGCACACUCUUAGUGUGUGUGAGGACCAGUGUUGGAUCCCCAGGACCACCC
rnacentral:tRNA from 1 species